GAGGGAGGGAAUCGGCUCUUAGCCGAUUCAUAUUCAACAGGACCGGGGAAUGGGUUCUUGUUCCAUGCCCUGAAUCCCAAGAAGCCCUUGUCCUGGACCCUGUAAUGCCCGGGGUCUUCCUGAGAAAUGCUGGUGCCACUGGAGCACAGCCCGGCCCCCUCCAGUUUCUCCACUUUGUAACUGCACUUGUGUUCAGCAGGUCUUCCAGGACUUAGACGCUGCUUGAUGUGAGCCAGGUUUUGUGUGGAAAGAGGACAGGUCCGAGCCAGCAACCAAGAAGCCCAGGACCAUCUUUCAUGCUUCCAGAUUCUGUGUCCAAAAACUUACCUGUGGACAUUGAGGCUGAUGCAUUUCUGCUCCAAGACGUCUGUGGACUCAGCUGGAGGGAUGGAAAGGAUGUGGGGCCUCUUCACUCCUGGCCUGGGCUUGGACCUGCUGUGCAGCCUGUCAGUGGCACCAGGGCCCCCUUGUGUCACAGCGGUCUCGGGUUGGUGGCACUGCCUCAGGAUGUCCCAGGCUUCAUGAUGUCCAGGCUCCCCUGGCAUGGCGACCUCAGGACUUUCUCUGGCAGAGAUGCGAGUGACUUCUGCUCACUGAGAGGCUCAUCUCAGGGACUUCAUGGCCUGAGGGACGGCAGCCUGUUUGAGCUGAUCGAGCAAUCUCGGGCUACCCUGAUUUUCUGAAACGCCUGUGAGUGACUUCUCACACGGUCUUUGAAACGGCUUCAUGACCGCGCUCCUUGGUAAUGAUCGAAUGCUUUUUUUGACCCCUCGUCCCCUUUCUUUGGGGGUGUUCCAGUCUCAGUUCUCAUGUGUUCUGCUUCUACGGGAAUUUCUGAAGCUGCUGAGUGUAGAAAGCACCGAGGAGGCUGUGCUCCCACCCCUGUGAGCUU
rnacentral:lncRNA from 1 species